rnacentral:misc_RNA from 1 species
GAUGAAGAACGUAGCGAAAUGCGAUAAGUAAUGCGAAUUGCAGAAUUCCGUGAGUCAUCGAAUCUUUGAACGCACCUUGCGCCCUUUGGCCAUUCCGAAGGGCAUGCCUGUUUGAGUAUCAUGAACACCUCAACUCUUUAUGGUUUUCCAUGAUGAGCUUGGACUCUGGGGGUUUUGCUGGCUCACAGUCGGCUCCUCUAAAAUGAAUCAGCUUACCAGUGUUUGGUGGGUAUCAUGGGUGUGAUAACUAUCUACGCUUGUGGUUUUUCCACCAGGUAACCUUCAGCAGUGGAGGUUCGCUGGAGCUCAUAGAUGUCUCUCCUCAGUGAGGACAGCCCUUUGAAUGUUUGAUCUCAAAUCAGGUAGGACUACCCGCUGAACUUAAGCAUAUCAAUAAGCGGAGGA